rnacentral:rRNA from 1 species
CGGCAUGCCUUACACAUGCAAGUCGAACGGCAGCACGGAGCUUGCUCUGGUGGCGAGUGGCGAACGGGUGAGUAAUAUAUCGGAACGUACCCUGGAGUGGGGGAUAACGUAGCGAAAGUUACGCUAAUACCGCAUACGAUCUACGGAUGAAAGUGGGGGAUCGCAAGACCUCAUGCUCGUGGAGCGGCCGAUAUCUGAUUAGCUAGUUGGUAGGGUAAAAGCCUACCAAGGCAUCGAUCAGUAGCUGGUCUGAGAGGACGACCAGCCACACUGGAACUGAGACACGGUCCAGACUCCUACGGGAGGCAGCAGUGGGGAAUUUUGGACAAUGGGCGAAAGCCUGAUCCAGCAAUGCCGCGUGAGUGAAGAAGGCCUUCGGGUUGUAAAGCUCUUUUGUCAGGGAAGAAACGGUGAGAGCUAAUAUCUCUUGCUAAUGACGGUACCUGAAGAAUAAGCACCGGCUAACUACGUGCCAGCAGCCGCGGUAAUACGUAGGGUGCAAGCGUUAAUCGGAAUUACUGGGCGUAAGCGUGCGCAGGCGGUUUGUAAGUCUGAUGUGAAAUCCCCGGGCUCAACCUGG